UUUUGUGGCUCUGUCUGUAUUGUGGGAAACGAAAGAUGAGAGGGGAGCUUUGACUUAUGCUGAAAAGAGCAUCCGAACUGAUGAAAGGCAUAUAGCGGGUUUCAUCAUGAAGGGAAACCUUUUAUUAGCUAUGAAGCAGCCGGAAGCAGCUGUUAGUGCUUUCAGGAAUGCUCAAGAAUUGAGACCUGAUAUUCGUUCAUAUCAAGGUGCAACUUUAAGGGGAAAGAAUCA